rnacentral:rRNA from 1 species
UGGGGAAUCUUGCACAAUGGGGGAAACCCUGAUGCAGCGACGCCGCGUGAGCGAUGAAGGUUUUCGAAUCGUAAAGCUCUGUCCUAUGGGAAGAUAAUGACGGUACCAUAGGAGGAAGCCCCGGCUAACUACGUGCCAGCAGCCGCGGUAAUACGUAGGGGGCGAGCGUUGUCCGGAAUUACUGGGCGUAAAGGGUUCGCAGGCGGCAUGACAAGUCCGAUGUAAAAGGCGAAAGCUCAACUUUCGUAAGCAUCGGAAACUGUCAAGCUUGAGUGAAGGAGAGGCAAGUGGAAUUCCUAGUGUAGCUGUGGAAUGCGUAGAUAUUAGGAGGAAUACCGGUGGCGAAGGCGACUUGCUGGACGUCAACUGACGCUGAGGAACGAAAGCGUGGGUAGCAAACAGG